UAAACAGGGAGAAACUGCUGUUGUGAAAAAGAUUCUAAGAGCAGUUUACUUGUGCAUGACCAAUACAUAAGUUACAAUGUUGAAGAAAAUCUGCUUUGAAGGUGAUUCAUGAACACCAAUCUACAGGACGAGGCAAGGACGAAGGUUGGAAGUUACAGAGGUAGACAAAGCUUCAACAAACAAACGGUAGAAUGCUAUUCUCGUCAUGAGCUUGGGCAUUUUCACCAGGAAUGUCCAGCUAAGCAAGAAGGAGAGGCUAACUAUACAGGAAGUCAAGAACAGGUGUUAUUAAUGGCAUGUUGAAGAAAAAGUGGUCCAUUCAACAUAUGUAUGGUUUCUUGACUCAGGUUGUAGUAAUCAUAUGUGCGGAAUAAUUGAGUAUUUUGAUGUCACAUUCAUAGAUUCAGUAAAGCUUGACAUUCAACAAUAACUACAAUACGGUGGUUAAUGGGAAAGGCAACAUCAGGGUGGAGAUGAAUAUCAGCAUCAUCACAUAAGCCUUUUAUGUGUCAGAAUGGAAGAACAAUCUACAGAGUUUUAGACCAUUGCAAGAGAAGGUACUGACAGUAAUGUUUCAGCACAGGCAAUAUAAAGUGUAUCAUCCUGAGAAAGACUUGAUUAUGAAAUAAAAUAUGUCUGCAAAUCAGUUGUUUAUUUUA